ACUGGGAGGCGGAGGUCGCAGUGAGCCGAGACCUUGCCACUGCACUCCAGCCUGGGUGAUGGAGUGAGACUCUGUCUCAAAACAACAACAACAACAAAAACCCCAAAUCUAGGAAGAGGCAACAAAAGCAGAGAAGCACUGCCACACAGAAUACCCAAACCUUCCAAAUAAAGCCCAUCUACUUGGUAUCUGAUAAAAUGUACCCAAUUGUGUCCUCAGUUAUUUCUCAGAGAAUUGGUUCAAUAACCAUUGUUCCCUUCUUUCCUUUCCUCUCCAUACUCUCUGUAUCUCAGGUUUGGUCUAGUGACUGGGUAUUAGCCACUAGGUUGGAUAUCACUUAAUGCAACUAUAAAAUGUCUUUAGCAUUUUAUGUAUAUAUCUAAAAUAUACCCUGACUCCUAUUUUAAAACUACAACAACACAUCAAGAAUUUGACAACUAGUAUAUAAAUUUUAUUUUGAGUUUUUUUAUCUAAGAGCUUAUAAUUCAUUCCUUUUGGAAAUAAAAUUUUAUAGAAUUCCAAAGAAAUAUGAAUUAUAGAGAGGAAGACAACAAACUUUUUUUUACUCUUAAAUACUAAAUUCCUUGGAUGAAAUGCCUAAAUACACAAGUUACAAAAUGGGCUUUGAAGAGUGGGAUGUUGACAGAUUCCCAGAAUAAGACUAAAGGUGCAUUAAAUCACUAUUUACUUUAAACUUAUAACUGCCUGCCAGCUAUGGCCUUUAAUCAUCAAAGACUUAUUGUGUUUAACAUUCAAUUUGCUGUCUACAUGCAACCAAUUUCCCCGACACUGCUCUUAGGCAGAAGUUCAAGUUUGAGGAAAGGGCUGAUAUUUCCUACAUCUGUAUUGUUAAUGUCUAACAACGACUUCAGAGAAAACUCCUUGUCCUAUAUUAGAAAGUACCUUGGAUGCUCUCCAGGACAAAGGUUCCAGAGGGUGCAGGUGAGAUACGCCACAUGAGCUACCCAGAGUUUAUCAAGCUCUAGCAGUACAUGUGGGACUGGGCCUUCGGGUGACCUUUGUGAUCUUGCUUUUGAGAGGUUUAACCAAGAUCAUCUGUUUCUUAACUCCGCUCUUCCAUUCUGUAUACUCUGUGCUUCCCUUGAGCCAAGCAGCAAACGAGAAAGAAAACAAGUAUCUAACAGACAGGGUGUUCAAGUCCAGCAGCAAGUCUGUACCUGGGACUAAUUAAUGGAUUCAAUUCAGCCAUCUCUGGAGUGGACUGGAGUUGACCAGGGAGGAGGGGGCACAUUCCAGAGAGGGGAACAAUGCAGCUAAGACAUUAACAGUUGGCUCAGCCUAAAAGCAAGCCCGACAGGACUGGCAGGCCUGUGUUAAUGUGCAGUUGGACAGCAGCAGGGGCCUCUAUUCAGCUCGUGUGCACCUGUACAGUCGUGCCGGUUGUUGAAAUAUUGCAAUACUGCUGUAUUGGUUAUUAAAUAUUUUGAACAAAUAUUCCAGGCAGCAGAUUACACAGAGUCCCGAAAACAAGGCAGAGGAGCUUUUUGAUUGGAGCUGGAAGGAAAGAAGUAGUGUAAGAUUGGCCGGGUGUGGUAGCUCACACCUGUAAUCCGAACACUUCGGGAGGCCAAGGUGGACGGAUGACUUGAGGUCAGGAGUUCAAGACCAGCCUGGCCAACAUGGUGAAACCCUGUCUCUACUAAAAAUACAAAAAAAUAGCUGGGCAGGGUGGUGGGUGCCUGUAAUCCCAGCUACUCAGGAGGCUGAGGCAGGAGAAUCGCUUGAACCCAGGAGGCGGAGGUUGCAGGGAGCCGAGAUUGCACCAUUGCACUCCAGCCUGGACAACAGAGCGAGACUCAGUCUAAAGACAAAAGUAGUGUAAUAUGACAUCUCAAAGGGACCUAAACAGAAGAAUGUUAUGGAAAAGGUGUUCCAGGAACACUCUAUAUUUUUCUUUCUUUAGAAAGAGGGUCUCACUCUGUCCCGCAGGCUAGAGUGCAGUGGUACAAUCAUAGCUCACUGUAGCCUCGAACUCCUGGGCUCAAGCAAUCCUCCCACCUUGACCUCCCAAAGUGCUGGGAUUAUAGGCAUGAGCCUCUGCACUCGCUCUCAGGAAGCCCUGUUUGGCAGUAGCAGGUCUUCUGCCAUAUCUCACUAGGAAGGGCUGAGGGGAGGAUUUUAUAAUCCUGCACCUGCUUUAAGUGAAAAGUUGUUUAUUUUACCAUCAUUUCAUGAGGAGUGGCUGGGUGGGAACUUCAGGCCAGAUGGACUGUGUCUUUAUUAGACAUAUAUAGCCUAGUUUUACCCAUCUUUACAUACUCAUACUGGAAUGACUAAGGCUUUUGAGGUUUUUCUAACACUCUCAGAUUCUUAUCAGCCCAGUAGUUUUCUGGAAAGUGCUCUUAAGUCUCAUGUCCUUGCUACUAAUUUGCUCCUCCAGAGUAUGAACAGUGAUGCGGCAGUUGGGCACAUAGCAAAAGGACAGAGAAGCGUCCAUCCAGUUUGGCUCCUAGGGAAGAUCAUUGGCAUCUGAGUAAGGGCAGGCUUAGUCCAGAGGGGAAUGGAGGUAGAGGCCAUGUGCCUGGGAAUGAGGAGCAAUCCUGAGAUGAAGAAGUGAGGAGGAAGGCAGGCAGCCCCUUCAAAAAGCCUGGCUGGGAAAAGCAGGGCAGGGAUAGGCCCAUGGUCAGGGGCAGCUGCAAGGUGAAAUGGGGAAUCCUUUACACAAGUUAAGCCUAAGCCUGGGCCCAUGUUCUUGUAACUGGGUUUUGCAGCGGUCCUUGCUAUAUCCUAAAUCUAAGGUCACCCUUCCUUGGUUAGAAAAAGCUUUCUUUU
rnacentral:lncRNA from 1 species